rnacentral:rRNA from 1 species
GAUGAACGCUAGCGACAGGCUUAACACAUGCAAGUCGAGGGGCAGCGGGGGCGAAAGCUUGCUUUCGCCUGCCGGCGACCGGCGCACGGGUGAGUAACACGUAUGCAACCUGCCCGCAGCAGGGGGAUAAGCCGGAGAAAUCCGGUCUAAUACCGCGUAACACCCUGAGGGGGCAUCCUCUUGGGGGUCAAAGGAGCAAUCCGGCUGCGGAUGGGCAUGCGUCGCAUUAGGCAGUUGGCGGGGUAACGGCCCACCAAACCGACGAUGCGUAGGGGUUCUGAGAGGAAGGUCCCCCACACUGGUACUGAGACACGGACCAGACUCCUACGGGAGGCAGCAGUGAGGAAUAUUGGUCAAUGGGCGGAAGCCUGAACCAGCCAAGUCGCGUGAGGGAAGACGGUCCUAUGGAUUGUAAACCUCUUUUGCCGGGGAGCAAGCCGGGUCUGCGGACCCGUGUUGAGAGUACCCGGAGAAAAAGCAUCGGCUAACUCCGUG